rnacentral:rRNA from 1 species
AAACGUAGGUGGCGAACGUUAUCCGGAUUUACUGGGCGUAAAGCGCCCGCAGGCGGCUUCGUAAGUCUGACGUGAAAGCUCCCGGCUUAACUGGGAGAGGCCGUUGGAUACUGCGGAGCUUGAGGGCAGGAGAGGAGAGUGGAAUUCCCGGUGUAGCGGUGGAAUGCGUAGAUAUCGGGAGGAACUCCAGUGGCGAAGGCGACUCUCUGGCCUGACCCUGACGCUCAGGAGCGAAAGCGUGGGGAGCGAACAGGAUUAGAAACCCUAGUAGUCC